rnacentral:rRNA from 1 species
AUACGGAGGAUCCGAGCGUUAUCCGGAUUUAUUGGGUUUAAAGGGAGCGUAGGUGGAUUGUUAAGUCAGUUGUGAAAGUUUGCGGCUCAACCGUAAAAUUGCAGUUGAAACUGGCAGUCUUGAGUACAGUAGAGGUGGGCGGAAUUCGUGGUGUAGCGGUGAAAUGCUUAGAUAUCACGAAGAACUCCGAUUGCGAAGGCAGCUCACUAGACUGUAACUGACACUGAUGCUCGAAAGUGUGGGUAUCAAACAGGAUUAGAUACCCUGGUAGUCCACACAGUAAACGAUGAAUACUCGCUGUUUGCGAUAUACAGUAAGCGGCCAAGCGAAAGCAUUAAGUAUUCCACCUGGGGAGUACGCCGGCAACGGUGAAACUCAAAUGAAUUGACGGGG